rnacentral:rRNA from 1 species
CCUACGGGGUGCAGCAGUGAGGAAUAUUGGUCAAUGGCCGAGAGGCUGAACCAGCCAAGUCGCGUGAGGGAAGAAUGUCCUAAGGAUUGUAAACCUCUUUUGUCGGGGAGCAAAAAGGCUCUGCGGAGUCGUAUUGAGAGUACCCGAAGAAAAAGCAUCGGCUAACUCCGUGCCAGCAGCCGCGGUAAUACGGAGGAUGCGAGCGUUAUCCGGAUUUAUUGGGUUUAAAGGGUGCGCAGGCGGAAUGUCAAGUCAGCGGUAAAAUUUCGGGGCUCAACCCCGUCGUGCCGUUGAAACUGGCGUUCUUGAGUGAGCGAGAAGUAUGCGGAAUGCGUGGUGUAGCGGUGAAAUGCAUAGAUAUCACGCAGAACUCCGAUUGCGAAGGCAGCAUACCGGCGCUCAACUGACGCUCAUGCACGAAAGCGUGGGUAUCGAACAGGAUUAGAUACCCUAGUAGUC